UUUCAGUGAAUAAGAAUGGUCUUCUCACAUAAUGCAGGGAUGGAAGAAGAUACUUGGAAAAAUCAGGGAAGAGUGAAGAAGAUACUUCAAAAAAUCGGGGAAGAUUUUCAUCAUAAGGUCCAAGCAAAGGCAUGAGUAUAAGAUGUGUAUUCCUGAGCCUGAGUCUACUGACAAAUAUACCACAUCCCCAGAGUAAGUUGGAGUCUCUUAAAAUUGUCUUGCUGACAUCUAGCGGAGAUUGUCCCCACAAGCAUGUUCCUUAUGACGGAUGCCUGGGUCAGAACACAUAAUACAUUCCUUUUUAUAAGCACAAAGAUUCUGAGAAGCACUGCCCCUCCCACGUGUCACACUCUGGGGAGAGAUUAUUGGAAUGCCUCUUGGAUCAGGUAUCUUUGGUGAUCAUUCCACCUAGUUAAGAUGAAGCUGGUGAUAGCCUUUGGCUUGUUUCAGGCGGAGUGGAUCUCAGCAAUGCUUUCAGUAAACUAAGCUGACCACAGUGUGUAGGAUGGAUAAAUACUAGUGGGGAAGGGCAAGACAUGACCGGGGAUCCUGGCAAUCAAGAUAAGUGCUUGAGAUACUUUGCAGACCCUGAACUUGAUGGAUCAGCUGGCACCACCCAGAUGGAUAAACUGGCUCAUCUGAUCUUGUGGCACCCAACCCAGGAACUGACUCAGCGCAAGAGGACGCUUCAACUCCCUAUGAUUUUAUCUCCGACCCAACUGAUCAGCACUCUUGACUCACCGGCCUUCCCACAUCUGUUGUGGGACUUUUCCUUAGUUCACCUAAAAAUGGGGUC
rnacentral:lncRNA from 1 species